UUGGCCCUCAUCUGUCUGAUCUGAAUCAGAACCACGACGAACACAGAGAUGUUGCACAACAGGAUCAGAAGAACAAACGCCACCACCGUCACGUAGAAGAAGACGUCAUCCUGCAGCCAGCAGCUGGAGGGAGGAGGACAGUUUGCUCGACCCCAGCCAAUCAAAAUCCAGUCCUGAGCCCAAUCUUCCAAUCAACGCCAAUGGACCCUAUGGUCUUUACCUUCGGGACAUCGAUGCAACAACAAUUCAACAGGUUGACCUGGGUUUUCAGCCAAGAAACAAAUCAAAAAGACAUUUCUUUGCUGCAGCAAACAUCUUACCUUUGCAGGUCACAAAAACAGCUCAUUAGUCAAAGUUUGCUGACCCUCAGUACCCAUUUAUAUCUCACCUUUGGAGCCAGGAGAGGAGAAACUGAGGACACG